UUAUUUAAAAAAUUUCGAUCGAUAUCUUAUUUGCAAGUAUGAUUAAUUAGAAGAUGAGUGUCGUCUGCUAAGAUUACAAAGAAAUUCUGAACGACCACUACUUUGGAAUCGUAACGUGUCUGCACGAAAAAUAGUUCUAAAAAUAAAAUUACAAAUUAAUGUGAUCGUCUUGUCAACUCUGGUCGCGUCUCGUUAUAGAAUAGCUGAAUGUACACUCUGCUGUUUAUAGCAGAUUUGAGGCCUGAACCAGCCAUCAUAACAACACGAUAUGCAAGAUUUGCUUCUGGUGGCAUUGGCCACUGUAACAAUCUCAGUAUAAUCGCUUGGGUAAACAGCAUCCCGUUAGAUUGGAGAACCUAUACCGAUGUCGAUCGAGUUCCGAAUUUCUUCUUCUCCUUUCUUGAAAUGUCCUUGUGUACACCCAUGUGAGUGUGGGUGUAUUCACGAGGACCCCCUCUUUCCUAUCCCGCCUGCUGGUGUAACAUUCAUCUCUUCUGCGGAUGCAGCACUUAUGGAUGGAUGCCUGGCCGAAUUUCCCAGGCUUAAAGAUGUGAUUUCCCCCCCACUUCCAUUCCGACUGAAAAGCGUAGGAAGAUUGAACAUGCAACCGAAUCGAGUCAUCGUCUUUGUCGGAAGAGAUGCCCAGCGGUUUUUGGGGUAUAGUAGAAAAUCACCUUUCACGUUUUGCUAGGCCAUCGACGGGUCGCGCUGGAAUAAAAAAACAGAAUAAUCUCAGCUGGGUGAACACCAAAACGCCGAUGAUUUUUACAACCGUUGGAUUGGACACUUUGAGUCGCAGGUUUUCUUUCUCACACCUGAGGAGUGAUGGAGCUCACAAAGCCCGGGGGGAAGAAAUAAGGUGUGCAUUAGGCCUCCAGCGCUGCUGCAUCAGAAAAUCCAGAAUUUUCUUUUAUCUUCUUCUUCUUCUUUGAGUUUGAAAAAAAAAUCCCCCCAAAACUGGGGCUGUAUACAACAGAGGCUUCAUAGAGUCUCUCUCUCUCUCUGUAGAAUUGCAAAUGGUCGGUCGAUCAAAGGCGGAGAUGGUCGACCAAGAUACAUCGUGUAGAUGAGCUCCUCCUCUCUUUGUCGCUUUGUCGGAGGGUUUGGAAGGAAACCUUUUCUUUUAACCACCGCUUCCUCCCUACUUUUCUCCUCGUCCAACCAGAGAAGACCCGAGUGCUUUUCUCUUUUUUUUUCAGCAUUUUAAUCUGCACUCCAACACCUUUUUCUCGCCCUCGCCUAUCUCUUGUCUAUCCGACACCAACAAGCAAAUGCUCGUCUUUGUCUAUACUGUGACAUUACAUAACCAGUGUAUAUGCUACAGUCUCACUCGGCUUUUUGAUCUCCUCUUUCUUUCUUUUAAACUUUGUUUUUCAUUCAAACCAUUUUUCUCUCGCGUCUUUUUCCCUUAUAUUCGUCCGCAUGAUUAUUUCAGUUGGAUUUCCUUGGGAUCGUCUGUCGUGCGGAUGCAGGUGUGAUUCGACAAUGACACAAGCCUUGCAGCCGUGACCAGACAAUCAAUUGACACCCGAAGCCAAGCUGUAAAGCAAUACAACUGGGUUGUCCAGGAUCAUGUCCGAGACCCUGUUACGAUGCCUUCCGGGCAUCUGCUAUCCGAAACGUCUAAUCGAUAUUCACCUUCGAGUGAAACGUUUAACUGUCACUGUUUCUCGUUUAUCAGUCUCAUUGAAAUUUUACUGUCGUCUCAGCAUUGUCGCCCGUUCGAUCGGAAAGAAAUGAUUUCGACGACAACCCUAUAUUAUAUAUCUCAUUGGUUUUUUUUAAUGAUUGCUACGCUCAAUAAGAUUUAAAUGUGGAAAAUAAAGACUUUCAGUAUAAAUUGAGCCUGCAUUUUGUUGUUAUUAUUUUGUGCAUUCCAUCAGUUUUCUAUUUUUGUUUUCCUAUUAAAGGAAAAGUGUUUUAUUUUCCAUUAAAUGAAAGAAGAUGAAGAAUAUAAAGGUUACAUGGAGAAUUGGAGAUGCACUCACUCUCCUUCCCUCACUUAUAUGCCAACGAUAGUCGAUGGGGGGCGAUGGGGGGCACCUACUUAUGUGAGCGUAAGAUACACUGAUUGAUACCAAAACUGAAUUCAAACU